CAAGCGUCUGGGGUAAGGAGUCGUUGCCAUCAGCCCCACUGAUGAGUCUAGGCAGUAAUUCCGAGACGAAACGCAAA
rnacentral:hammerhead_ribozyme from 17 species